rnacentral:rRNA from 1 species
GGCUGAGAUGUGGGUAGUCCGCACGAGCGCACCUUGUCUUAGUUGCAGCAUUCAGUUGGGCACUCUAAGGAGACUGCCGGUGUUAAACCGGAGGAAGGUGGGGAUGACGUCAAGUCCUCAUGGCCCUUAUGUCCAGGGCUACACACGUGCUACAAUGGCCGGUACAAAGGGUAGCGAGACCGCAAGGUUGAGCGAAUCCCAAAAAGCUGGUCUCAGUUCGGAUUGGAGUCUGCAACUCGACUCCAUGAAGUUGGAAUCGCUAGUAAUCGCGGAUCAGCAUGCCGCGGUGAAUACGUUCCCGGGCCUU